rnacentral:misc_RNA from 1 species
UUUUUGUUGAAUUAAUAGGUGUAUUUAUUGAAUUAUGAAGAUGUUGCCCAGUCUGGAUGGUUAGCGCAAUUGAUAUGGUAUUGCAGCAUUGUUUCAGAGUAUAGUGGCAUCUAGUAAUUUCCUACCCAAAAGAACAUACUUAUUUUUAAGAUGUAUGUUCUUUUUGUAGGUGUCGCAUUUUAUGUAAUAUUCAAUCUAGAUCACUUCAUGUCUUUCUCUACUUUGAUGCAUUGAUAAAUGCUAGGCUGUUGAAUUUAAAUUAUCAAAUAAUUGGUCUUUUAUUCUUUUGACAAGUAGUUUAUUUUAUGGACUUAUUUUUUUUAAUUUGUAUGAUUUGUGUUCAACAUCUCUAAGGAAAUAUGUCUAAUUGGAAAUUCCUUCAUCUCUUGCAGUACACCCCUGCAAUUGAUAUUUG